rnacentral:rRNA from 1 species
GACGAACGCUGGCGGCGUGCUUAACACAUGCAAGUCGAACGGAAAGGCCCUGCUUUUGUGGGGUGCUCGAGUGGCGAAGGGGUGAGUAACACGUGAGUAACCUGCCCUUGACUUUGGGAUAACUUCAGGAAACUGGGGCUAAUACCGGAUAGGAGCUCCUGCUGCAUGGUGGGGGUUGGAAAGUUUCGGCGGUUGGGGAUGGACUCGCGGCUUAUCAGCUUGUUGGUGGGGUAGUGGCUUACCAAGGCUUUGACGGGUAGCCGGCCUGAGAGGGUGACCAGCCACAUUGGGACUGAGAUACGGCCCAGUCUCCUACGGGAGGCAGCAGUGGGGAAUAUUGCACAAUGGGCGGAAGCCUGAGGCGACAACGCCGCGUGCGGGAUGACGGCCUUCGGGUUGUAAACCGCAUUCGCCUGUGACGAAGCGUGAGUGACGGUAAUAGGUAAAGAAGCACCGGCUAACUACGUG